AGCGAACGCUGGCGGCAGGCUUAACACAUGCAAGUCGAACGGGCGUAGCAAUACGUCAGUGGCAGACGGGUGAGUAACGCGUGGGAACGUACCUUUUGGUUCGGAACAACCCAGGGAAACUUGGGCUAAUACCGGAUAAGCCCUUACGGGGAAAGAUUUAUCGCCGAAAGAUCGGCCCGCGUCUGAUUAGCUAGUUGGUGUGGUAACGGCGCACCAAGGCGACGAUCAGUAGCUGGUCUGAGAGGAUGAUCGGCCACAUUGGGACUGAGACACGGCCCAAACUCCUACGGGAGGCAGCAGUGGGGAAUAUUGGACAAUGGGCGCAAGCCUGAUCCAGCCAUGCCGCGUGCAGGAUGACGGCCUU
rnacentral:rRNA from 1 species